CCCCCCCAGGAAAUAUUAAGUGAGAUUAAAGAAGCUGAAAAUUUAGGACAGGUAUUAAUAGAAGGAGAUUUCAACUGUCCAUACACAGCAUGGGUGAGUGCCUCAUCAGGAUGAGAUACAAUGAGAAAGUUUUCAAUGGAGUAAGUACAUAGUUGCUUCCUAGAACAAUUAAUCCUAAAUCCUGCAAGAAAAGAUGCUAUUUUGGAUUUAUCCUGAAGUGGUGCCAGGACCAGGAGGAUUUAGUGGCAGAGAUCACUGAUAGGAAGUACAAUACAAUUAGUUUUAACAUCACAGCAGGAAAAAAUCAAGGCAUGUAUGUGGAUAUUUAGUUUCAAGAGAGGGAUAAAUAUGAGGGUGCAGUUCGAAAAGGGAAGAAAACUGCAUGGAGACUGGAGGCUGUUAAUAACAGUAUCUUAGAAGAUUAAAAAAACCCAUACAGUUGUCCCCUAAAUCACCAGCAGAAUCAGUAGGAAGAUUAAACAACAUAUCACAGGACAUGACUGGCAUCUGAGAAAUGGAACUCUUGCUCAAAUGAAGAGAAUGGGGAAGGCUGUAAAGUCUGUCAGGUCAAGUGUAAAGAGAAAAUUGGGUUUUCUGAUGAAGCCAUGAUGCUUUGGGUAGUUGGAUGCCACAGGGAUGGUGAGGAACUCCAGACAGACCUCAUAAAAAUGACUGAGUGUCAAAAACGGGCAUACAAGCUCCAGUGUAGAUAAAUGUACAGUAAUCCAUCAAGGGAAAAUUAAACCAUGCCUUCAUGAUGCUAAACUCCAGGACUGGGAGUUGUAUCUUGGGGGAGAGAUCUCAGAGUCAUGGUUGGCAGCUAUUUGGGAUCAUGGGUUCAGGGUGCAGUGGCAUUCAAAGCAAGCCCCUUGUGUGUGGCUGGGGAGGGUGCUGAGAACCAGGUGUGUGGUGGUGUAUUUGUAUUGCUGCUGUAGGUGCACCUGUGCCAGGGCAAUGCACAUGCAGUUCAGGACAGAGAGAAGAUCCAGAGAAAAGCAGCUAAAAUGACUGAAAAGAUGGAGCAGGUCCUUAUGUGAAAAUACUUCAUGAGCUGGGUUUUCAUCCACAAAGCAAAAGGAGAAGGGAGGUGAGGGUAUGUUUAAACUAGCAGGUGGUUGGGUUAAUACACAGUGAUUUAAAUCCAACUAAAAGUAUCCAGCUGGAAGUAAGAAAGAAAAGAAGAUAAUUUAGCUAGAAGAAAGUAUUUUUUGUACUUGGCAGAUAGUCCAUGUCCUUUUUAUGCUGGAACUGUAGGUACACAGUUUGUGGUCAUUGGGAGUGGGGCUGUGGCUGAGCCUCAUCCCCAGUGGGCUCAGCUGUGAGAAGCAGGUGAGCAGCACUGACAGCAAUGAGCCAUGGAUGCCCAGGGGCACUGAGCAGCCAGCAAAGGGAACAGAGGGCACACAGGGGCACUGCAUGAACCAUGAGGGGUACAAAAUGUUGGGCUAGAGACAAGAAGGGCAGAUACGUUGAGCCUUCUGAAGUGGUGUGGUGUUACUCUAUGGUGGUUGAAGCUUUCUCAUAUUGUAUGGUGAGACUGUGCAUUGUGGCUGUCUUAACUGUGACAUAUGGUGUGACAGAGGAGCCCAGUGCUGACUGUGAGUGCUCAGGUGGGGUCUCAUGAGACCAGAGGGGCAGAAUGACCUCCCUUGACCUGCUGCCCACACUGCUUUUGGUGCAGCUCAGGACAUGUUUGGCUCUCUGAGCUGUGAGAGCACAGUGGUGGGCCAGUGACUGAGCUCCUCAUCCACCAACACCCCCAACUCCUUCUCCACAGAGCUGCUCUUGAUCCAUUCUCCAACCAGCCUGUGCUUGUGCUUGGGAUUGCCCUGACCCAACUGCAGGACCUCAUACCUGGCCUUGUUCAACUUUGUGAGGUUCACACUGGCCCAACUCUCAAGCCUGUCCCUCUGGAAGUUCCCUUCCCUCUGCUGUGUUGAACACACCACAGAGCUUGGUGUCAUCAGCAAGCCUGCUGGGGUUGUGCAGGACAAUGUCAAAUGCAUUGUGUAAAUCCAGAGGGGAUCAGGAGUUUGAAAAAAAUCCCACUUUCCCCCACCCUGCUUAGAAAGCUUUGUUGGAAGGCUGACUCUGGGAGUCAGUGUUUGGAAAAGGACCAGGAAUCACAGGAGUGGGCACUGCCUCAAAUCCCCUGCUAAUAAACACACCAACUGAAGCCAGGUGGUAAAAGUGCAUUUUUAUCAUGUUUUAUGCAGAUUAAUGAUUCCAAUAAGCAUUUUUCUUCUUUAUGUAUGUUCAGGGCAGCAUUUGUGCAACAUCUAAGAAAAUGUAGUGAGCUUUCUCUGGCUUUCUCAGUGCUGCACUCAAAGACUGGCUUUGUCAGAUCUGCCUCAACCUCUUCUCAUAUUUGCCAUUUGUAUGAGCCACAAGACUGCAGUAAGACAGUGGUUGCUGAUCCCUGAGGGGUCUGGUUUUCCCUUGGUGUGUCUGUGGCUCCUUCCACCAUAACAGAGUUAUUUGUGCAUUUGGAGGGAAUUAGUUAAUGACCUGUGAUGCUCAAUCCACAGGGCCACAGAUUGUCUCUGUGACAGCCACACUUUCUGGAGUGCUUUUGUCUUGAUUAAGUUUUGGUGUGUGGUAAAAACAAAUGUUACUGCCCUCAUUUCAAGAUGAGAAACCUGAACUGUUGCCUGUUUGUUGGGUAAAUAAUGUGAGAUGCUGCAGAGUAGGUAAUUUAUUGUAUAGUUGGGGUGCUGUGGUUCAACAAGACCCCUCCUCAGCCGUGCUCUUGGAGGGGCUGUGGUGACCUCUUAACCUGGGCAGCUGCUGGGAAAUGGGCUUAGCCUCAGAGGAGAGGUAAUUAAGCUGGCACAGGUGAGAUUAUGUGUGCACACAUUUCCCACGACUUAGUGAACUUGUCUGUAACAUUUCUAAGCUUCUGAUGCUGGAUGUGGGCACUGGCCUGGUGAUCUGCUCAGGUCCAUGAGGUUGGGACUCAGGCCCCACCACAUGCCCAAGUCUUCCCAAAGCUGUCAGGAAUAUUAGGAGCAGUUCUGGAGGGAGAACAGGGCAGCCUGAAGGCUUUGCUAAGCCCUUGCUUUGUCAAGGAGCUUCCCUGGCUGUUGUGCAGAAUCUGUGCUGGUAUUUAUACCUGUGGCCAUUGUGCUGUGUGCUCUGGUUUUCCAUCAGCUCAAGAGAAGCCCUCAUCCCAGGGCUCAAUCUGGGGGUGGUAUACAGUGUCUGGGAGUGACUCAUGCAGCUGCUGUGUGGCACAUCUAGUCCUCUCCAGAUGUAAAAUUAAACACAUGCUUUUAAUGUUAUCUUGACCUAGACUAAUGUUGCUAUUUCAGGGUUUUAUGUCAGAGGCACAAAAAACCUGGAAAUCACUGAUGGAAAAGACCUAUUAGAUCAUCCCUUCCAUCCACAGGGUUGUUCCCUGCAAAAUAUUCUCCAUCAUUUUGUCCAAAGCAGUCAAAAUUUACUCAAGUGAGAGGGUUCCCAACGCUUCUCCAGGGGAACUCUUACAUCUUCCAGGAUGCCAGGGAGGAUUCAUUCAUCCCCAGGCUACAGUCCAAAGUUAAUUUUACCUCAUUUAAACCUCUCUCCCAAGUUCAAGUCCCCAAGACUGGUCCUGCUCUUCCUGCUGUUCAUACCCAGCACUGUACAGGGAGGUGAACACAGGCUGCUCAGCCACCUGUAAUAGGGUGAAUUUGCAAUCAACCUUCAAAUAAUUCCCCAGGGCCUCUCCAGCUGUACCCCUGUCACAAGGGUGGUGUAGGAUGGAAAGCCUCAUAUCCCAGGGCUGCAUUUCCUCCAUCCCUCUGAGGCACAAACUCCCCACAGGGAAUUUUUUUGUUUUGUUGAAAUGUCUCCUUUGCUGCUUCAUGGGAUAUACACACCCAGACUGAGAGCCCAGCUGUAUUUAUUUUUAAAGGAAAAGACAAAAUUCCCACUGAAUGGGAGAGGGCUGCUGCAAAGUGGGUGGUGGCUACCUGAUGGACAAGAGCUGGAUUAGACCAUGUAGAUUUGGCUAUGUAUUUGGGCUGCUGGGAACACCACCUCUUCCAUCAAACCUUAUUUCUGAGAUGUUGCAGGCUGCUAACAACCUCUGCUAACAAGUGCUCUAACAUCACCAAGACAUCUAUUUUUAAUAUAAAAUGCAGUUGCAAAAAAAAGAGGUCCCCACAUAACAGAUUUUGCAGAUAAAUUGGAAAAGAAAAUAAUCUCUGUCUGCAGGGCAGGGACUGUGUGUGCCAGCUCCCUGCUUUGGCCCAGCUCUGUGUCCCAUGUCACCCUCACAUCCCCUGGGAGUGGAAAUGGAAACCUCUGCUCUGAGCUCUGGCAGUACAAGUGGAUACCAGGGGAAUGUUUUUGCCAGUACUUAGCAGGAGCCAGUUCUUGCUUGCCUGCAGCAGUUAAACUCAUGAGUGCUCUGAGCCUGCACAGCCCCCCUGGCACUAGCUGAAUAGGUGUUUGUGGUUGGUUUGGGGUUUUUUUUUGCACCGGGGUAAUUUUCUUCUAGGGCUUCUAAGCACUCAUCUGUGAAACAUGAAAUUGCCUGACCCUGAAGCUCAUCCCUGGAUUGGUGAGAUCCAUAAGCUUGAAAAGAACAAUAUUUCCUUUCUUUUUUACUCAGAGGAGUCCUCAAACUGCAGUCACUCAGCAGACAGCAAUUUUCAGCUGUCUUUCCUUUAUGUUUUCAGUAGGAUAUGAAAGUGUAAAUUUACAGCCAAGGAUCACAAAAUGAUGCCUCGCUCUGUGAUCUUUCCUGAGCAAGCUCUAUGUAGACAACACAGCUGUCCCUCUGAGGAGCUGCAGUAUAAAUGGCUGCCCUGGAGGACCCAUCCAAGAUGCCUGGGAUGGCUCCAGGCUGCACACAAGGGAUGUGACAGGACAGGCUGUUCAGUGCCAUCACCUGGGGAUAUCUCACCUGACAGAGAUCCUAGGAAAACUGAGAUCCCAGAGCUUUGCCAGGGCUGGUGCAGACCCUCUCAAACAUUACAGGAUACAGGUGCACAAGUGGAAGGAGAGAGGAAAAGGUCCUCAAGGAGAACUUUGAUUCAUUUUGAGCUUGUGCUAGGGGACAGAGCUGAAGAGUGAAAAAACAACCUUUUGCUCCUCCUAAAAAUUCUAGUAUUUUUACUGAAAUCUGCUUGACCUGGCUCCAAUCCCCAUGGUGUAGCUCUACCUUCCUCCCAUACAGCUGCCUCCUACUAGCCAUAUUCCCCCAGAUCACUUCCAUUAAUCUUUCCAUAUUCAUCUGACCUUCUGAUGUCUCAUUUAUUUUUCUCUGUUUGCAUUUAUUUGCUUUGCAAAUCCCUCAGGCCAGAAGCUGUCUCUAUAAAGUGUAUGGUGAUUGUCCAGUAGAAUUUCAGGGUGUAAUUUAAGUCCACAAAAAAUGGCAGUUCCAAUCAUAUAGCCUGCUUUUACAGGUUGCUCUCCAUGUGACUUGAGCCGACUUUUAAAAUCAAAGUUAACUUCUAUAACAAAA